rnacentral:lncRNA from 1 species
AAGGAGGAUGGCAUGAUUUCUUGCCGAUGGCGGAGUUCGCAUAUAAUAACAGUUAUCAAGAAAGCAUAGCGAUGGCGCCAUGUAACAUACCGGAUUUUAAAUAUAAAAGAGAAAAAUAAAUAAAAAUAGUAUGAGAUACUAUUUUAUUGGAUUUAGAGAAGUGAAAUAUCAGUUGGGAACGACUUGUGCUGAAAUCGGAGCGAAAACAAAAAAAUUAGAAUUUUCAGUUGGAAACGGGACUGAUAAAUUAGCAGAAAAUGCACAGUCUCAGAAAAUUAUGAAAAUUAGCAGGGAUGUCAGAAAUAUUUUUAUGAGUCUAGAUUUAAAGUUUCAUAUUUUUCUGACACCCGUAGAGUGAGAAAUAAAAUCCGAAAGCUAUCUGAUAAAGAUUACAGUUCGGCACAGUUUUCGGUGACCAAAC